UACAGAGGAUGCAAGCGUUAUCCGGAAUUAUUGGGCGUAAAGAGCUCGUAGGCGGUGUGUCACGUCGGCCGUGAAAACCUGCAGCUUAACUGUGGGCGUGCGGUCGAUACGGGCAUCACUGGAGUUCGGCAGGGGAGACUGGGAUUCCUGGUGUAGCGGUGAAAUGCGCAGAUAUCAGGAGGAACACCGGUGGCGAAGGCGGGUCUCUGGGCCGAUACUGACGCUGAGGAGCGAAAGCGUGGGGAGCAAACAGG
rnacentral:rRNA from 1 species